rnacentral:rRNA from 1 species
UACGAAGGGGGCUAGCGUUGCUCGGAAUCACUGGGCGUAAAGCGCGCGUAGGCGGAUCGUUAAGUCGGGGGUGAAAUCCUGGAGCUCAACUCCAGAACUGCCUUUGAUACUGGCGAUCUUGAGUCCGGGAGAGGUGAGUGGAACUCCGAGCGUAGAGGUGAAAUUCGUAGAUAUUCGGAAGAACACCAGUGGCGAAGGCGGCUCACUGGCCCGGUACUGACGCUGAGGUGCGAAAGCGUGGGGAGCAAACAGG